ACGGUCUUGAGAUUUGAUAUCACGUUCGUGCGAUUUGAUAUUAUGUUCUGGCGUUUUGGUGUCACGAUCUUGCGAUUUGAUAUUAAGAUCUUGUGAUUUGAUGUCACGGUCUGGCGUUUUGGUGUCAAGUUCUUUUGUUCUGAUAUCACGUUCUUGUAAUUUGGGGUCACGCUCUCGCGAUUUGAUGUCACGUUCUUGCGAUUUGAUGUCAC